AUCUCCUGAGUGCUACAAGUUGUAGCGGGCAGCACUGAGUGUGUUUUCCUUCGGGGCAUUUUUUUUUUCUCUAGCAGCUGACUUUAAUUUCCUCUAAAUUAAGCCACUUCUCCCCUUUACAUUGUCCCGAGUAAGGAACAAACUGCCAAGCUUCAACGGAGCCUAGAUGAGCCCGCGCCUUGGAGCAACUUAGCAGUCUUCUGGGACCCAGCUCUGGAGGAGCCACAAGCAAACACCCUGGGUUGUGGCUGUUCCUGGUUUCCUUAAGUCUGACCAAAGAACUGGGAGAAGCGAACCUUGGUGCCAGGUCCAAAGGAAACUCCAAUAACCGCAAGUUGUAAAGGCCUGAGUAAGUGAUUUAACAUAUGUGAAAAAUGAGAAAUAUUUAAGAUUUCCUUUCUUCUUGCUUUGCUGUUCAGAGCUUUAAUGGAGUUUUCUUUGGAAAACUUCAAGUGAAAACACU